rnacentral:tRNA from 1 species
CGGGCAGUAGUUCAGUGGCAGAACUCCCGCUUCGUAUGCGGGAAGAGCUGGGUUCGAUUCCCGGCUGCCUCC